GCCUGGGUGGCUCAGUCGGUUGAGCGUCUGACUUCAGCUCAGGUCACGAUCUGAUCUCGCGGUCUGCGAGUUCGAGCCCCGUGUUGGGCU
rnacentral:tRNA from 1 species